rnacentral:ncRNA from 10 species
UACGUUCAUCACUUUAAUUAGUGACGGAAGUAGACAAUAGUCGAAGGAACGCAUG